UCUAUGGGAAAGUUGUAUUCCCCUUCCUUUUUAUACAAAUCCGUCUUUUUUUGUUCAUUUCUUUUUUAAGGGGGUAAUUCGGGAUGAUCCCUUCCAUUUGGCAUCUAAAAUCACUACACCAAAAACUAGAAUAAGAAACGCAAGAUAGAAAACGGUUAACUUAGAUAGGCGAUCUCUAGGAUUAUAUAGAACGCCUAUCUAAUUUAACCGUUCUAUAUGAUUUAUUUUAUUAUUUUUAUUAAAUUGUUAUUUUAUUAUAUAGAACGCAUUUCUUAUUUAACCGUUCUAUUUCAUAUAUCCAAUAUUUUACACUCAAAAAAAAAUCUAACAUACCAAAAGACUCAAAAUUCUAACCCUAACUCCUCUUUCCUCUUAAGAUAGCCGUCAUACACUAAUUCUCCUUCAUAACUUCCCCUCUCGUUUUCCUCUUCUCUCACUUCUUUCCUCCUAUGAGACUCUAACUCCUUUCUCUUCUACCUUCAUCCCUUAAUGUUCAAAAAACUACAAGCUGAAGCCCGAUUAAACUCCGAGCAUCGUCACUGAUGUUACAAAAUAUGCGGUGUGCAAAAGAUCAAUAUUCUCAAUGUUACAAAAGUUGCGGUGUGCGAAAAUUCGUCGACCUCUUCCUCUGUUUACAACUAGCGGCCUUACCCCAGCUCCGGUACAAUUAAUGCGAAAGAUUAAGCCAUUGAAUAUUUCUUUUGCUCUAUUUAUGGUCAUAAGUUGUUGCGGGUUGAUUGGUGUUUAACAUUAUGGAGGCGCUGCGGUGGUUGAGGUUGGUGGAAAUGCUGCGGUGGUUUAGGUUGGUGGAAGUGUUGAUGGUGGUUCAGGUUGGUGUUGAAGUGUCGUUCAGGUUGGUGUUGAAGUGUUGCUGGUGGUUCAAGUUGGUGGAAGACUGGAAGUGCCGCUGCGGUUGCUUUCGAAUUUCAAGGGAAAAUGAAGUUGGUGUUCUUCUAAAGUUGUAAACACAUUAAUAAUUAUUAAGUUAGUUUAGAGAAUUGUAUCAAAAUCUACUUGAAUUGUAAUUACAAUAAAGUUUUUUUUUUAAUUAA